UCUUUUCCUAUUUUUGAUCUAGUGAUUUAACAUGUGUUUAAACUUGUAGUUUUGUGUAUUUCCACUAGUUCAAAAGAACAAGAAUCAUAAUCAACCACCAUUAAAUAUUUGAUAGAUUUGGAAAAAAUGAGAAGGAAAUAUAGAAAGAGAAAGAAAAAGAAAAAGAAGAAAUAAAUGAAGGAAGAGAUUUAAUUGGAGGAAAAAAUGAGCAUGGGAAAAAUAUAAUGGAGGAAAUAGAAGAACUGAAAAAUGGCCAACAUAGGGUAGAAAAAGAGUAGAAAAGUCUGAAACAAUGCCAAGAAGAGAUCAUCAGAAUGUUAAAAAUAAUCAUCGAAAGACAGAAUGAUAGACUUCCAAUUGAAAAGCUUCCGCAAGAAGAACAAGAAAAAGAGGUUAAGGAGACAAUAGAAAGAAACAAAUCUCCUUGUAACUUCCAAAUUCUUGAAAGAAAUGAUGAAAUUGAUAAGAUGGUGAAUUAUGCUGCAAAUUAGGUAGCUCAAGUAAGUAUUUUGCUAUGUGCUAUUUUAUUUUUAAAUGUAAACAUACAUUUACUAACUAAACUAAAACUAUUUUUUCUUGUAGACUAAAAUUGGAAAUCAAAGAAAGGAAUCUUAUGCACCAACACAAGAUGAUUUUGACCAUAUUCAAACUCUACAUUUGGAAACCCCAAAGACACAAGAAUUAACAACAGAGUUCAAGGAAGAGGAUGGAAAGGAAAAGCAAAAAGAAUUUGAAGCUAAAGAAGAUAUGGAAAAAACUGAUCAUGUUCAGCAAAAGGAUAAGCCGGUUGAUGAAGGAAAAUUGUUGUUGAACAAGAAUAGCAUGUUGAAGAACAAGUUAUUGAGGAAGAAACUGAAGAAGAAAAUGAGAAUGAAAAGAAAAAAAAGACUUGAAAAUAAAAGAAAACAACAUUAAGGAAAGAAG